UGACAAGCAGUGCCAUGUCCGCGCCCAGGAACCAAACCUGGGCCACUGCAGUGGAGCACACCGAACUUUACCACUGGGCCAUGGAGGCUGGCC